UUGAAUAAACACGGUGCCUAUACCACGUGACUUUUUAAGAUCUGUGUGGGGAGUAAAAUAUCAACAAAAGCGCGACGAAGGUAUGGCUCAAUGCUCCGAAUGCGGAAAAAUGUCGAAGACCAGAGCUGGAUUAUUGCGCCACAUUAGGGGACACGCUAACUCUGGAAACUAUAACUGCUGUGGGAAAGCAUUUCAGGAUGCCUACAAUCUUAGAAGGCUUCAACGAACAAAGGACCCCAAUGUCACGUGUGUGUACAGUGCGGCAGGAGCUUUGCGCACAAGUACCUACUCGUGGCUAGAGAGAAAAGUGCAAAAAAGAGGGAUUGGUGAAAUGUUACAAGUGUGUGUUGGCAGUUAGGAGUGAGAAUGACCUCAGAGAGCACGUCAAUACCCACAUGCAUG